rnacentral:rRNA from 1 species
UACGUAGGGUGCAAGCGUUAAUCGGAAUACUGGGCGUAAAGCGUGCGCAGGCGGUGAUGUAAGACAGAUGUGAAAUCCCCGGGCUCAACCUGGGAACUGCAUUUGUGACUGCAUCGCUGGAGUGCGGCAGAGGGGGAUGGAAUUCCGCGUGUAGCAGUGAAAUGCGUAGAUAUGCGGAGGAACACCGAUGGCGAAGGCAGGUCUCUGGGCUGACACUGACGCUCAUGCACGAAAGCGUGGGGAGCAAACAGG